rnacentral:rRNA from 1 species
AGAGCGAACGCUGGCGGCAGGCCUAACACAUGCAAGUCGAACGGACUCUUCGGAGUUAGUGGCGGACGGGUGAGUAACACGUGGGAACGUGCCUUUUGGUUCGGAAUAAGCUCGGGAAACUGGGUCUAAUACCGAAUGUGCCCUUCGGGGGAAAGAUUUAUCGCCAUUAGAGCGGCCCGCGUCUGAUUAGCUAGUUGGUGGUGUAAUGGACCACCAAGGCGACGAUCAGUAGCUGGUCUGAGAGGAUGACCAGCCACAUUGGGACUGAGACGACCGA